UACGUAGGUGGCAAGCGUUGUCCGGAAUUAUUGGGCGUAAAGCGCGCGCAGGCGGUCCUUUAAGUCUGAUGUGAAAGCCCACGGCUCAACCGUGGAGGGUCAUUGGAAACUGGGGGACUUGAGUGCAGAAGAGGAAAGCGGAAUUCCACGUGUAGCGGUGAAAUGCGUAGAGAUGUGGAGGAACACCAGUGGCGAAGGCGGCUUUCUGGGCCUGUACUGACGCUGAGGAGCGAAAGCGUGGGGAGCGAACAGG
rnacentral:rRNA from 1 species